GGGUUGGUAUCCAAAUUGGUGAAGGAGGCUGACUGUAAAUCAGUUGCUUAUCGGCGCGUGGGGGUUCGAGUCCCUCCCAACCCA
rnacentral:tRNA from 1 species